CUUGUUUUUGCAGGAGUUUCUCAAGGAGAACUCUAAAGAAUUAGAGAAGAAAUGCCUUCUGCUAUAACGAAUGACUUUGGAUUUUGAUUGAUUUAUUGAGUUAUGCAACAUCACGGGGGUGAUGCAAGGGCAGAUCCUCCUCUAGAUCCAAUGCGUAUACAGGUUGACUGUGAGAGAGUGACUUCAACAAAAAGGCGCGACAUCAACAAAGGGUUUUUCAACCCCGAGACGCUAGAGUUGCAUUAGGUAGACCACUACCACUAGAGUGGGAUGUUCAGGGGAAGACUUAUAAGGAAAUUAGUGACUAUUCCCAACAUUUGUCUCGGGAGAUCGACAUUCUCAUUCGACAAUAUAUCGAUCCCGACUACGACCGAUGGGAUAAAGUACAAAAUGAAGUUAGGAAUCAGAUACUUCCUCGU